AGUGAAUGAUACUUUCAUGAUCAUUGUAUCAAAUUAUAUCUUGUAUCAAUCUGAUAAGAUAUUGUUCAAUCUAUAUUAAUUUAAUUUCUAGUCUGAUUAGGUGUUUUAAUAUUGUGAGUAUAAAAAAUAUAUAUGAUUUCUUCAAUAAAUGCACCAAGUGCCCCACCUUUGGAAGAAUUUCCAAUUGGAGAUGACGAAUUAUAUGAAUGGGAGGAAAAUAAAAUCAGGGAAAUUGAUAUAGAAGACAAAAAAGAUAGAUAUUUUAAAAUUCCAAUUAUCGAUAAGUCUGGAAACGGAUUUUGGUAUGCACAUUUCAAGGGGCCAUAUGUCACUAGACAAAUCAAUAACUACACAAAUCAAGAUGCGGAAUAUAUUCAAGAAGGAAAAGCUGGUGAUCACCUUAUGUGCAACCUACAUUUAAGCCAAACAGGAUUUCUGGAAGAUCCAACAUUGGAAAUUAAAGAGGAGGAAUUUAAUAUGCUGUGGAAAAAUAGCCAACCAAGGAAGUGCAUGCCAUGGCCUAUUUGUUUGUUAUUAUUUAAUAGGUGUAAAAGAAACAACAAAUCCUAAAUAAAAUUUAUUUAAUAAAAC